rnacentral:other from 2 species
CCAUACUUAGAUGGAUAGUGAACAACAUUUUGUUGUUUGUAUUUUUAAGUAUGAUGUUGUGUUUGCAUAUUGGUCUAGUUUAUAGACCGUGAGUAAUUCAUUACUCAUUUCACUUCCUGUAUAUUUUGACCGAUUUGGUUGAUAACCGCCCACUUGGGCGGUUUUUUUAU